UUAAGGAAAAGACGUUCGAGGAAUCAGAAGACAACAACUAAACCCUUCAAAAACAUAGGAGAUUCCGAGCACGUCUCGACGACAACAUCACAGAGUCCGGAAAGAGGUUCGUAUGAAGAGUUGGAUGUAACAAACAUGGCACCACCAAACGUGUACCAACAGGUCGGACAAGAACAUGGUGUCUCCGAGAACAUAGAAGUAAGCAACUAUGAGAUGUUGGAAGGUGUGAAUGGUCCAAAUGUCUAUGAGGAACUGAAGGAUCGAAAAGGUUCCAGAUCAUCGCAUCUUUACACCAACACAACACUAAAUUAAGACAUUCUGGCAAGGAUCUGACUUCAAAACGCAUAUCCUGUGGUCAGGCAUCUCUCUUGUAAAUGUUUCAUUUAUGCCAUACCAGAUGACAGACAGUCUAAAAUUUGUUUGAGGCAGUGUGAUGUCCAUGAAGACGAGAUGACGGCAGACAUCAAUAUAAACUAUAUAGUUUGUAUACGUAAAUAUAGUUUCGGAAACUUCUUUAGGAGACAUAUUUCAUUUCAAUCAAGCCAUUAUUUGCAUGUUUGCCAUGCUUACAUUGAGGCUAAUAUGCAACAUACACAUGAAUAAGAGGCACAUACAACGGCAUCAUUGGUUUUUGUUUUACGUGUACACUUGAUAUCAUUUCGUAAAGCUACAAAACACAGGUGUUCUCAGCAUCACAGAUAAGUUACGGUCUAACACGUUGAUCUUAUUGGACAAACAUUAUCAAGGUCAUGUAGAGCAUCAUUACAAAACAAUGACACUACGUAAAUCAACU